AUCUAAAUAGCUUAUAAAUAGAGCAUAGUAUUGAAGAUACUAAGGAAAUAUGUAUUAUUUUUAGAUA
rnacentral:tRNA from 1 species